GAUGAACGCUGGCGGCGUGCCUAAUACAUGCAAGUCGAGCGAACGGACGAGAAGCUUGCUUUUCUGAUGUUAGCGGCGGACGGGUGAGUAACACGUGGAUAACCUACCUAUAAGACUGGGAUAACUUCGGGAAACCGGAGCUAAUACCGGAUAAUAUUUUGAACCGCAUGGUUCAACAGUGAAAGACGGUCUUGCUGUCACUUAUAGAUGGAUCCGCGCUGCAUUAGCUAGUUGGUAAGGUAACGGCUUACCAAGGCAACGAUGCAUAGCCGACCUGAGAGGGUGAUCGGCCACACUGGAACUGAGACACGGUCCAGACUCCUACGGGAGGCAGCAGUAGGGAAUCUUCCGCAAUGGGCGAAAGCCUGACGGAGCAACGCCGCGUGAGUGAUGAAGGUCUUCGGAUCGUAAAACUCUGUUAUUAGGGAAGAACAUAUGUGUAAGUAACUGUGCACAUCUUGACGGUACCUAAUCAGAAAGCCACGGCUAACUACGUG
rnacentral:rRNA from 1 species